UGGAAAAUAACUGGUAUGUCUUUGUGGAACAACGCAUUUGGAAAGGACCAGGAUAUUGUUAAUGUUAUUUUUGUAAAAGUUAUAGAUGCUAAUUCGAGAUGCAAUCACAGAACAUGUUUAUGUUAAUGAGUAUUUAAAAAAAAAAGUUUGGAUUCACAGGCCUACAUUUGUCGAGCUCCUGGCUGUAAGAUCCAAUGUGCGUGUUGUGUUUCUUUUUCUUUUGUGAGCAUUUAUAUGAUAUUGUGGAAUAUUUGAGUGUUGUAUCCUGUUCUUCAAAAACUCAAAUUAAAAGUUCAACCAUGCUAUUUACUUAUCUUUUAUUUUUAGUUGCUCCUUAAAUCUCGUUUUGUAGUAUACUUUAUACUGUUUUAAUGUAGAUGUUUGUUCCGUGUUUUUAAGUCUAAUAUCUCAAAGAACUCCACAUUUUUAAGGAUACCCCAGUUUGUUUUUUUGCAUCUCAGAUACUUUCAGUAUCUUAAAAUGGUACAAAGUUAAACAAGUUCUAGCAGUAGUUCCAUAGUAAAACAAAAAAAGUACAAUGGUUAACAGUCUCUAAAAAUAAACCCAUUUAUUGCUUCUAUAUGAACCAGAGAAAAGAAUGCAGGUAAAGCAUCCUUUAAGUUCCAUACAAUCUGUCAGGGAUGGUGAAUGAAGGACCCAACUACAGGAGACAAGACUUGUUGGCAGAAACAUAAACAUUUACUAAAUCAACUUAAACAUGACAAAACCAGGCUAACAAACCAGUGAUGUAGAGGAACAGAGCAGAUGACCUGACAAUGAGAAACUGAAAACCAGACACUUAAAUACACUGAGGUUGAUUAACUAAAUGAAGUCAGCUUUGGAUGAUUAACCUGAACAUAGUGGGACUGACAGGGAACCGAACAUGACAAAACUGAAGCACUGAAUCAUGACACAAUCCAAAUAUGUAUUCUUUAAAACACCUAAAUUUAGAUUGAAUCGCAUUUUUUAAAUCACUUCUUGUCAUAAACUGGAGGUGAAGGAUCCAAAGUGCCGACCAGGCUUGAUGACAGGAACUUAAAACUUGAUAUCUCAGAGCAACAAACCCAUCACCCAACGGGGUAACAAAGCAAACCAACGAACAGAAAUCAGACACUUAAAAUAAGGGGAAUUCUUACAAUUAGUGCAGCUGGGAUUAGCAAAUGAAACCAGUGAUCAGGAUCAACUCCCUCCUGAUCCACAUAGCAGCGCUCAAACCUGACUGACCUGCAUGAAGGGACUGCAUCUGCAAGAUGUUAAACCAACGCUGCUACACAUUCUGAGUUACCCAACGCAAGGUCACCGGUGACGGCAAACACACACCAUGUAUGUUAACUCCUCUGCAGCCACCGGUGGAUCUUAUUCACUGACAUUCUUGGGAAAGAAAGUCGGGAGGCGUCACUCAGUGGCGCCGGCGGGCAAGCAGAUUGCAUGGGAGACGACGGUCGGGUCUUCCCGCCCCGAGGACUCUUUGGUCUCCUUGCAGACUGCUCACAUUCCAGCAUCAGCGCAGGCGACGGAAGAGUUACCUGGCAGUGUACCUGAGCUGAAGGACAAGAGGCCCUGUCCGAGAAGACACAACAUGUUCGACCAGCGUGAAGACAACACAACAGGUGUUUCUGGGAGGAAAGUAACAGCAUGACGGCACACCCACAUUCCAGUGUGAGGAAACAUGGAGGGGGAUGAGGGGGAGGGAGGGAAUGAGUGAAAAAACGGUGAUGAAAUCUCUGAAUAAGGUCAUUUGGUGGAAAGAAGUCGGAAUUUUAGAUGAUCCUGAUUGAGCUAUAGCUAAUAAGGGAAAUAAACAGGGACAAACUCAUUUGUCAAUUAUUAAAAUAAUACUGUUGGGUUUAAGAUUCACUCAAUCACUCCACAAAAAUGUAAAAUAUGGUUGAAAAAUAAUAAAAUCUAAACUGUUGCACUAAAAUGUGUGUUUUGUUUUACUCAAGAAUGUAUCCAUGCGAUGAUUAUUUAUGACCCAUGUAAAAAAAAAAAA